GUUAUUGUUUAUAUUUUGUUUUGUGCUGAAGUGAGUUGUGAACGAUGAGUCCCGAAGGUUCUGGACAGAACAGGUUAUUGUAAAGCUUCCACUUUCGUUACGCAGCUAAACCGGACACCUGUACACGAAUACGGGCAUUUUUUUUGUGAACAUCACGAGACACCGAGCGGGCCGACCGAAACCAAGUGCCACAAUUAAUUUAAUAUCCUGUAAGGCUGCUUCGUCAGUGUGCCUUGCCUUGCAACUACAUCGCUGCUACUCAGAUUUUUACCGUGCCGCGUUUCUGGAACGCUGACCUGGAAGCAAAUCACUCCUCCGUUUCGCUUCUAGUCCGACAACAAACGCGUCCGCACAGGUAGGCGAAUCUAUUUUUAUCCACUGCCUCCCAGCACAGACACCAUCAACUUCCCGUACACCCACCACUGUCGAAAAAAAGGAGCUAUAAUCACCGGACCAGGUGGAACAUGUUUUCACUCGAAAACAUAUGCAUUUAAUUAAAUGCCAACGCUUGGGUUAAUCGGAGAAAAUGUAUCGUUAGUGCGAGUCGGUAUCGCUUAGUUAAAAGCGUUGGCUCACUUUUCAGACCACCCACCAGGUUUGGCUUAUUUGUCUCUAGUUGAACAACAUCUGUUUGAAGAUCACUGGCACACACACUGCAUCGGUCCGCUUUAAUGUCCACUGCAAACUGGGAGCAAUCUGUGCACUGGCAUCGGUCCCCAGCGGGUGCUUGUAAUUAUAAUCUGCUUCACACGAGACCAACACCACAGACGGGCACACCGCACGUUCCGAGAUUCCGAACUGCUGGACGGCUGGAGAACACGGUGGUCUCAACCGGCCGAUUUGUGAGUCGAUAAAAUCGGAGAGAACGAAGGAAAGGCUCGUCGUCUGGAGCACGUGUUUCCCCGAGCAGGACUGAACUUCAGAAGUACUUGGGUUUUGUGGAUGAACCAGCACUCUCCAAAGAACAACCAUAACAAACCCCCCCCCGCAACCUUAGCCCACCCGCGCCCGACAUGGUUUGCUGUGUGUGUUUGUACCACCGAUACUAACGCAAACGCUGCCAGAUGGGGAGCAAUGUCGGUUUAGUAUCAGCCAGUGAUAACUUGCAGAAGCCCUCGAAACAAUCACCAUGGCGACCUGAGUAUUCACACUCACAUCGCAUCGAACGAGAGAGAGAAAGAGAUCGGGAGAAUCGCGAAUGGUGAUAACGGGAGAAGUUUGAUAAAAAGCUAUAACCGGCGUCUGGCGAGCGUUUUCCCUAUGGCACUGGAGAAAAUGUCCUAGGGUUACCAACAGUUAAGUUACGAGGACACAAGUUAGUCGAACAUUGACAUAACAUUAAAACUGUAUAAACUGUAUGGUAACACGGGGUGAUUUAGAUCACUCCUUUAUCUAAAAAUUGCGGCUCAACUUGGAUUUAAAAAUGUCAUUUCCUUCUAUUGUUGAACCGUAUGUACCUGAAGUAAAAAAACAUUGGUAAAACUUCACAAGUAGAGGGAAACGGUAGCAUGAACACAACAAGCACGUUGAUCGUCAAAAAAUUAAAGUUCUGUUCGCCUGCAGAAGAGGAACAAUUUGAUGUAGCGAAACUAUGCCGCUGAAUUACAAAAAGGGAAUGGACAGACAACGUUGGAAGAAAGAGGAGCUUGAAAGAGCAACGUAGGCCAUCGAGAUCGGAUUUUCUUUGACCAAGCAUCAAAAGUGUUUGAAAAUGCUCGACCAACAGUGAAAAGAUUCAUGCAGAGUUCGAGAUGGUGUCAAUCCAACUUUUCUGGUCUGGAAUCUGGCCAAGACACCUAGUAUCGAUCCCAAAACAUUCUUAUUGAUUGUAACAUUAUCCAAAAAUACUUUACAUAAACAUAAGUAUGUUUUUUUCGAUGAAACACACACUGGACUAAA